rnacentral:rRNA from 1 species
CAAUAGCGUAUAUUAAAGUUGUUGCGGUUAAAAAGCUCGUAGUUGGAUUUCUGCCGAGGACGACCGGUCCGCCCUCUGGGUGUGUAUCUGGUUUGGCCUGGGCAUCUUCUUGGAGAACGUAGCUGCACUUGACUGUGUGGUGCGGUGUCCAGGACUUUUACUUUGAGGAAAUUAGAGUGUUUCAAGCAGGCACACGCCUUGAAUACAUUAGCAUGGAAUAAUAAGAUAGGACCUCGGUUCUAUUUUGUUGGUUUCUAGAGCUGAGGUAAUGAUUAAUAGGGAUAGUUGGGGGCAUUCGUAUUUAACUGUCAGAGGUGUAAUUCUUGGAUUUGUUAAAGACGGACUACUGCGAAAGCAUUUGCCAAGGAUGUUUUCAUUGA